CUUUCUUUUUUACUACUUUGUUGUGGGAGGGAGUGACGUAUCUCGCCACAGCAGAACAGGCUGUCCUGAACCAAGGAGAGAAUUGGGAGGGGCUGCCUGCUUAGCUGCCAGGGAGGCUUAUCAAGGAGCCCAGCUGCCCCAAGGCACACGGCAUGGGCCUCUUUCUCCUCCUCUGCCUUUGUAUCUUUGGAAACUUGAGACAUCUGGCUCUGCCUCUCAGACUCACAGCUUCUCUGGAGCCUGCCUGUCUCCUUGAUCCAGGGCAAGAGGUCAGAACAGGCAUUGUCAUAAAUAGCAUUGCUCCAUUGCUGCCUCGAUGCACGUAGGCCCUUUGACUCUUCCAAGAGACCUCUCUAUUGAGCAUUCAUUCCAAUUUGUUUGCAGGAAGAUUAGAUGGCAAAUGCUCAUUAGCAAGCCAACCUUCUGAUUUGUUUGUGGGGGGAUUAGAUGACGUUGUGUUACCCGGCACUUCCCAGUGCAUUUGUCCAUCGCUUUCCUUAUAACAACUAGUCUUGGGGGGGAAGCAGGUUUGCUCCACAAGACCUCCCAAUCAAUGAUAAUUGCACAAUUCUAUUAGCCUCCCGGAAUGUGAAUUUGCCUGUAUCUGAUUGAAUUCCACCUGAAAAUAGGGACAGGCUUAGUGGGUUCUCAUGCUUGUAUUCUACAGUGAGGGGGGGGGAGUAUAUGAUCCCCUGCUAAAUUUGCCCGUUUGCCUUCUGAUGAAGAAAUGACCAGUCCAUAAUUGUAAUGGUAGGUUUAUUGUAGCUGUGAGAGACAGAAUAACAACAGGAAAACCUCCAGAAACCCAGAAGACAAAAGUCAGAGAUUGGUGUGCAUUAUAAUGAGUGAAAGAAGUAUUUGAUCCCCUAUCAACCAGCCAAAUGUCAGGCUACCUGGUAUCUUCACUGUAUGUAACGAGCUGAGAUUAGAAGCACCUGCUGUAAGGGAGAGGUCUUACCUGUAAUCCCUGACCUUUGUCUUCUGGGUUUCUGGGGGUUUUCCUGUUGUUAUUCUGUCUCUCAAAGCUACAAUAAACCUACCAUUACAAUUAUGGAUUGAUCAUUUCUUCUUGUCUGCACGCCUAUCCAGAUGAGCAAUGGAAAGCACUGUCACGUUAUUUCCUGUCCACACUAGUGGCUAGUAGUUGAUGGGAUGUUUUCACACUGUUUCUUAUUGUCCCCUCCUCUCAGUACUUCCCCACCUUCCCUAAGUUCCAGAAACGUGAGGCCCAUUGUGGGUAUGCACACAUGUAUUCAUUUUCCUAUGCAGCCAAAUUUUUUUUGGAUACAACUUUUCUGUUAUGCCAGAUUUGCAUUAAAAAACAGAUUUAUUUAUUUAUUUAUUU